rnacentral:misc_RNA from 1 species
UCCGCCUUGGAGGCGGCAGUCUCCCAUGAAAAAUCAACAUGGGACGAGGGUUGCGCUCGUUGGCUGACUUAACAGUACACCUCAAGGCACGAGCUGACGACGACCGUGCACCACCUGUCACCGGGUUCCUUGCGGCACUCAACUGUUUCCAGUCGAUUCCCGGGAUGUCAAGCCUGGGUGAGGUGCUCCGCUUAUCAUCGAAUUAAACCCCACGCUCCACCGCUUGUGUGGGUCCCCGUCUAUUCCUUUAAGUUUUAGCCUUGCGGCCGUACUACUCAGGCGGUGUGCUUACCGCGUUAGCUUAAGGCACGGGAGACAAUUGUAAUCUCCCACACCGAGCACACAUCGUUUAGGGCGUGGACUAC